UACGAAGGGGACUAGCGUUGUUCGGAUUUACUGGCGUAAAGGGCGCGUAGGCGGUCGUGACAAGUCACUUGUGAAAAUCUCCGGGCUUUAACUCGGAACGGUCAAGUGAUACUGUCGGACUAGAGUACAGAAGGGGCAACUGGAAUUCUCGGUGUAGCGGUGGAAAAUGCGUAGAUAUCGAGAGGAACACCUGCGGCGAAGGCGGGUUGCUUGGGCUGAUACUGACGCU
rnacentral:rRNA from 1 species